AUUGAACGCUGGCGGCAGGCUUAACACAUGCAAGUCGAACGGAAGCCUUCGGGCUUUAGUGGCGAACGGGUGAGUAAUGCCUAGGAAUCUGCCCAUUAGCGGGGGAUAACGUUCCGAAAGGAACGCUAAUACCGCAUACGCCCUACGGGGGAAAGCAGGGGAUCUUCGGACCUUGCACUACUGGAUGAGCCUAGGUCGGAUUAGCGAGUUGGUGGGGUAAAGGCUCACCAAGGCGACGAUCUGUAGGGGGGCUGAGAGGAUGAUCCGCCACACUGGAACUUGGACACGUGCCAGACUCCUGCGGGUGUCAGCAGUGGGGAAUAUUGGACAAUUGGCGCAAGCAGCGUCCAGCCAUGCCACGUGUGUGAAGAAGGCCUUUUGGUUGUAAAGCACUUUAAGCGGGGAGGAGGCAACUUGGGUUAAUACCCCGAUGGUGCGGACGUUACCCGCAGAAUAAGCACCGGCUAACUCUGUGCCAGCAGCCGCAGUAAUAC
rnacentral:rRNA from 1 species